UAUUGACUUUGUAAGAGCUUUGCAAAGUCAAGGUUUGUUUUGGAUGACUUGGAUUUUGUGAAAUAAAAUAGGGUUUAUAUUUUGGAUGAUUUAAAGAGUUUUGUAAUAGAUCUAUGGGUGAAAUUUUGUGGAUUAAUGGUUAUAGUUGUGUUCAAUAUGUAUUGUAAAUUUGAGCUUGAUCUAACGGUUGAAUUAAGGAUUAUUGAGGUUUAAA
rnacentral:lncRNA from 1 species